rnacentral:rRNA from 1 species
AGCAUAUCAGUAAGCGGAGGAAAAGAAACUAACAAGGAUUCCCUUAGUAACGGCGAGUGAACAGGGAAAAGCCCAUGCAUGAAUCCCGCAGAGUUAAUCUGUUGGGAAAUGUAGCGUAUGGGUACUCUUAUUGCCUAGCACGGCUGUCUGCAAAUUCACAUGAUUGUGAUUCCCAUUGAGGGUGUAAGGCCCGUAAUGGUCAGCUGUUGCUAGUCUUUAGAGUAUUCUUGAGUCGGGUUGUUUGUGAUUGCAGCCCAAAUUAGGUGGUAAACUCCAUCUAAGGCUAAAUAUAACACUAGUCCGAUAGCAAACAAGUACCGUGAGGGAAAGUUGAAAAGAACUUUGAAGAGAGAGUUCAAUAGUACGUGAAAUUGCUCAGAGGUAAACGAGUGGAGCCGAAAGUGGCGUGAUGGUGUAUAUCUGUGUUUUGCGGAUGGUUGCUUAGUUAAGCCCUUUACGGCUGAAUGAGUAGCUUUUCUUGUGAAGCAUGGGUUAUUCUUCCUCACGCCUAAACCACGAACAAUGCUUUAGGGCACUGUCAUUUUAGACAAGGUAGCGCUUCUCCUUCGGGUUAAGUGUGUUUAGGUCUGAAGUACGGUCGUCUUGAAGUAUUGGGUUAUGCGACACAAGCCAUUUACGGCGCAUAUGUUGUCCCUACUUGGGUAUGUUGUGGUAGACUCCUUUAAAGAGAUUGCCAUGAUAAUGCUUAGGUAGGUGAGGCGACCUCUAUGUAUUGUGUCUAUAUUCUGUGGUUAAUAUAGUAGGUAGUCCACUCGACCCGUCUUGAAACACGGACCAAGGAGUUUAGCUCAUGCGCAAGUCAAUGAGUCGUACGAAACUCAAAGGCGAAGUGAAAGUAAAGAUCCAUUUAUUGGGUUGAGGUGAGAUCUGUAGGCUAUCCGUUUCAGGAUGUCUGCAGCGCAUCACCGGCUCGUCCUACUCUUUAAAAGCGGGGCGAAGCAAGAGCGCAUGGGCUGAGACCCGAAAGAUGGUGAUCUAUGCUUGUGUAGGCUGAAGCCAGGGGAAACUCUGGUGGAAGGCCGUAGCGGUUCUGACGUGCAAAUCGAUCGUCAAACAUGAGUAUAGGGGCGAAAGACUAAUCGAACCAUCUAGUAGCUGGUUCCAGGCGAAGUUUCCCUCAGGAUAGCUUGGGUUACAUAACAGUUUUAUCUGGUAAAGCAAAUGAUUAGAGGUACUGGGGAAGUAAAUUCCUCAACCUAUUCUCAAACUUUAAAUGGGUAAGAUGUCAAACUCGCUUAAUUGUAGUUUGACAUCGAAUGUUAGCCCAAAGUGGGCCAUUUUUGGUAAGCAGAACUGGCGCUGUGGGAUGAACCAAACGCGAAGAUAAGGUGCCAAACGUAACGCUUAUCAGACACCACAAAAGGUGUUGGUUGAUCUAGACAGCAGGACGGUGGCCAUGGAAGUUGGAAUCCGCUAAGGAGUGUGUAACAACUCACCUGCCGAAUCAACCAGCCCUGAAAAUGGAUGGCGCUGGAGCGUUAGACCUAUACUUCGCUGUAAUGAUAUUUGCCAAGGAUGUCAUUACAAGUAGCCUGGUGACGUGGUAAGCAUUGAAGCUGCGGUUGUAAAACCGGGUGGAGCUGCCAUGUGUACAGAUCUUGGUGGUAGUAGCAAUUAUUCAAGUGAGAACCUUUGAA